GAUGAACGCUGGCGGCGUGCCUAAUACAUGCAAGUCGAGCGAACGGACGAGAAGCUUGCUUCUCUGAUGUUAGCGGCGGACGGGUGAGUAACACGUGGAUAACCUACCUAUAAGACUGGGAUAACUUCGGGAAACCGGAGCUAGCACCGGAUAAUAUUUUGAACCGCAUGGUUCAAAAGUGAAAGACGGUCUUGCUGUCACUUAUAGAUGGAUCCGCGCUGCAUUAGCUAGUUGGUAAGGUAACGGCUUACCAAGGCAACGAUGCAUAGCCGACCUGAGAGGGUGAUCGGCCACACUGGAACUGAGACACGGUCCAGACUCCUACGGGAGGCAGCAGUAGGGAAUCUUCCGCAAUGGGCGAAAGCCUGACGGAGCAACGCCGCGUGAGUGAUGAAGGUCUUCGGAUCGUAAAACUCUGUUAUUAGGGAAGAACAUAUGUGUAAGUAACUGUGCACAUCUUGACGGUACCUAAUCAGAAAGCCACGGCUAACUACGUG
rnacentral:rRNA from 1 species